AGCGACAACAAGAGAGACAGGAGAAUUGACAGAAAGAGAGAGAAACGUGGAGCUAAAGUAAAGUUCAGAAAUAAUGAGGUUAUGGUAGAUACCUUGCUGAAUGUUUCAGUAACAGAAGAAGCUGUAGCUGAGGACAGUAACUUGGACACAGUGGAUUAGGGCGCUUGAGUUUUGCCAGAGUGACUGUGCUAACUAAGCUAAAGCUAGCGAGUUGCUAGCCAAGAGGACGCCAUUGCUGGCGGAAAGGACUGUUAGGAGCUUCCUGAGGAGGACUUUGCUUCUGCUGCCGUUUGCUUUCAUCUUCAUCUCUUCAUGAACUGUUUCUCCAGGACUUAUUCCAGACCGACCAGUAUGUAGGAUUUUGUGGCAUCUAGUGGUGAACCAACUGAAUACCACUAAGAGAACUACAGUGGGUGGAAAACUUGUCAAAGAAACAGCGGUGACAAGAGACGACUGUUGUGUCUCCUCACGUGACCUGUGUCUUGGCAAAAAAGUGACACCAGAACACACCACACCGACAACAGCAAACAACCAUCUAGUAUGUACAUUCAACCGAUGUGCGAGAGCUGAACAGCCAAUCAGAGUGAUUUGUCUCACCGAUGGUACCCGCCGCCAAUUCAACAUGCUCAGUUGGUUGGAAAAGCAGUAGAUGAGAGUCGACAGGUGUUUGAUAAAUUGAUCAUACAACUACAACCACAGCCUCCACCUGUCUACCCAAAACACACCUGGCUGGUUGGGAUAGACCUCACACCCUCAAAUUCUCCAAAACUCUCCAAAACUCCCCCAAAAAGCCCUUUAAUGGAGAAGAAAAUGGAAGAAACCUUAGGAAGAGAAACAGAGGAGGGAUUCCUAUCCCAGGGCAGACUGACAAGCAAUGGAUAUAUUCCAGUGUAUACUGGAGCACAUAGAGCAGGUAUGACAGCACUGACUGCAGAGCUGAUACCUCCUGUUCAAGACAAUGUUCAAAAUUCUACCAGAAGUGCUGCAGUGCAUCCCAGUAGUGUCUCUCCACUCUGCUCCAUGAAGAAUACGCAGCUGGUCUAUUUUUGAUGGAAGCUACGACCCAGAGCACAGAGCAGAUCGCAAUGGCAGGAAGUCAAACACAGAAACAGCAUAGAUAAUCCUGUCAAUUUUCAAAAUAAAAUACCUACUCUUAGAGCAUGCCUUUUUCCUUUUGAGUUGGUUAAAGCGUA